rnacentral:tRNA from 1 species
GGUUCCAUGGUGUAGUGGUUAACAUGCCAGUCUGUCACACUGGAGAUCGCGAGUUCAAGUCUCGUUGGAACCG